CAGGCCUAACACAUGCAAGUCGAGCGAGGGAAACUCUUCGGAGUGGAACUAGCGGCGGACGGGUGAGUAACACGUGGGCAACCUGCCUCGUAGAGGGGAAUAGCCUUUCGAAAGGAAGAUUAAUACCCCAUAAGAUUGUAGUUCCGCAUGGAAUAGCAAUUAAAGGAGUAAUCCGCUACGAGAUGGGCCCGCGUCGCAUUAGCUAGUUGGUAAGGUAAUGGCUUACCAAGGCGACGAUGCGUAGCCGACCUGAGAGGGUGAUCGGCCACAUUGGGACUGAGACACGGCCCAGACUCCUACGGGAGGCAGCAGUGGGGAAUAUUGCACAAUGGGGGAAACCCUGAUGCAGCAACGCCGCGUGAGUGAUGACGGUCUUCGGAUUGUAAAGCUCUGUCUUCAGGGACGAUAAUGACGGUACCUGAGGAGGAAGCCACGGCUAACUACGUGCCAGCAGCCGCGGUAAUACGUAGGUGGCGAGCGUUGUCCGGAUUUACUGGGCGUAAAGGGAGCGUAGGCGGAUCUUUAAGUGGGAUGUGAAAUACCCGGGCUUAACCUGGGUGCUGCAUUCCAAACUGGGGAUCUAGAGUGCAGGAGAGGAAAGUGGAAUUCCUAGUGUAGCCGGUGAAAUUCGUNAGAUAUUAAGGAAGAACACCUAGUGGCCGAAGGCGGGCUCACUGGCCCCGGAACUGGACGCUGAAGGUACGAAAAGCGGGGGGGGAAGCAAACAAGGA
rnacentral:rRNA from 1 species